rnacentral:tRNA from 1 species
GGAGGUAUAGCUCAUUGGUAGAGCAUGUGCUUGGCAUGCAUGAGGUCCUGGGUUCAAUCCCCAGUGCCUCUU